rnacentral:rRNA from 1 species
UUGAGCAGUUGAUCAGUUUGAGCCUGGUCAGUACCUGGAUGGGAGACCUCCUGGGAAAACUAGGUUGCUGCUGGAA